rnacentral:rRNA from 1 species
UACGAAGGGUGCAAACGUUAUCCGGAUUCACUGGGUUUAAAGGGUGCGUAGGAGGGCAGGUAAGUCAGUGGUGAAAUCUCCAAGCUUAACUUGGAAACUGCCGUUGAUACUAUCUGUCUUGAAUGUUGUGGAGGUGAGCGGAGUAUGUCAUGUAGCGGUGAAAUGCUUAGAUAUGACAUAGAACACCAAUUGCGAAGGCAGCUCACUACACAAUUAUUGACUCUGAGGCACGAAAGCGUGGGGAUCAAACAGG